rnacentral:rRNA from 1 species
CCUACGGGCGGCAGCAGUGAGGAAUAUUGGUCAAUGGCCGUAAGGCUGAACCAGCCAAGUAGCGUGAGGGAAGACUGCCCUAUGGGUUGUAAACCCCUUUUAUGCGGGGAUAAAGGUGUCCACGUGUGGAUGUUUGCAGGUACCGCAUGAAUAAGGACGGGCUAAUUCCGUGCCAGCAGCAGCGGUAAUACGGAGGGUCCGGGCGUUAUCCGGAUUUAUUGGGUUUAAAGGGAGCGUAGGCCGGUCUUUAAGCGUGCCGGGAAAUGUUGUGGCUCAACCAUGGGAGUGCGGCGCGAACUGGAGACCUUGAGUGCACGAAAGGCAGGCGGAAUUCGUGGUGUAGCGGUGAAAUGCGUAGAUAUCACGAGGAACCCCGGUUGCGAAGGCAGCCUGCCGCAGCGUUACUGACGCUGAGGCUCGAAAGCGCGGGUAGCGAACAGGAUUAGAUACCCCGGUAGUC